UACGAAGGGGGCUAGCGUUGCUCGGAAUCACUGGGCGUAAAGGGUGCGUAGGCGGGUCUUUUAAGUCAGGGGUGAAACCCUGGAGCUCAACUCCAGAACUGCCUUUGAUACUGAGGAUCUUGAGUACGGGAGAGGUGAGUGGAACUGCGAGUGUAGAGGUGAAAAUUCGUAGAUAUCGCAAGAACACCAGUGGCGAAGGCGGCUUACCUGGUCCGGUUCUGACGCUGAGGCGCGAA
rnacentral:rRNA from 1 species